GUUCUUCAUUUUUGAUCCAUUUUUGGGCAUGAACAAUAAUAACUGGAGAUAUGUUAUUUCUGCAUCAAGAUUAAAUUUUUUACAUUCUAUGUUGUUUUGUUCAACCCUAUUGGUCUUAUCGCUAUAUAAAAAAUUUGUAUAUCCCAUGUUUAUGUUUAUUUUUUAUCAUAUUAGAGAUUUUGAUUAUUAUUUAUGAAUAAGAUGAAGAAGAUUCUUCUUCCCACAUUU
rnacentral:lncRNA from 1 species